rnacentral:rRNA from 1 species
UGGGGAAUUUUGGACAAUGGGCGAAAGCCUGAUCCAGCCAUGCCGCGUGAGUGAAGAAGGCCUUCGGGUUGUAAAGCUCUUUUAGUCGGAAAGAAAAGAUCAUAAUGAACAAUUAUGAUUCAUGACGGUACCGACAGAAAAAGCACCGGCUAACUACGUGCCAGCAGCCGCGGUAAUACGUAGGGUGCGAGCGUUAAUCGGAAUUACUGGGCGUAAAGGGUGCGCAGGCGGUUUUGUAAGUCAGAUGUGCAAUCCCCGGGCUUAACCUGGGAAUUGCGUUUGAAACUGCAAGACUAGAGUGCAGCAGAGGGGAGUGGAAUUCCAUGUGUAGCAGUGAAAUGCGUAGAGAUGUGGAAGAACACCGAUGGCGAAGGCAGCUCCCUGGGUUGACACUGACGCUCAUGCACGAAAGCGUGGGGAGCAAACA